UGGGUGCACAUAUUUUCGUCUGCAAGCUAGCGUCUGGCUAAAUUCUAUUGAAUAAUCUCGUAUAUAUAAUAUCUACAUGGUUGCACGGAGCAUGUAAUAAUAUAACAUAAGUACGUUCACUGACUGUAAUUUGGUAAGCAUCAUUAUCGCUUCUAAUGUAAUUUUUGUGGUCUCACCAUCCAUAGUUCCCGGCGGCAGCGAUCCUGUUCCAAUCCUCCUGCAAGCCUCGCGUGUAGAUCAUGUAGUUGACCACGCUUGUCCCACCCACGGCCUUGCCUCUUGGCCAGAAGCACCUCCCAUCCACCAUCCCUGAAACCAUCCAGAUUACCAGCGUUACUUGGUUACAUGUAUGUUAAGUUCAUUAUGUAGUCGUAGAUAGCUGUCUAGAUAGGAUAAAUGUAAAUAAAUAAAUAAUAAUAAGAAUUUGAAA